rnacentral:rRNA from 1 species
UACGUAGGGGGCAAGCGUUGUCCGGAAUUAUUGGGCGUAAAGGGCGAGUAGGCGGAUUUUUAAGUCCGGUGUGAAAUAUCAGGGCUCAACCGUGAGAUUGCACCGGAAACUGGGGAUCUUGAGGACAGGAGAGGAAAGUGGAAUUCCACGUGUAGCGGUGAAAUGCGUAGAUAUGUGGAGGAACACCAGUGGCGAAGGCGACUUUCUGGACUGUAACUGACGCUGAGGAGCGAAAGCGUGGGGAGCAAACAGG